rnacentral:misc_RNA from 1 species
GACAACAUUUUGAGAAGGAAUUUGAGAACCUGAGGAACAUAGAUCACAUUCUCAGGGACAUAAAGAGCCAAUUGGAUAACACAGGUUCAGAACUGUUGCCAAGUCACCCUAUCAUGGAGGAAGAUUUACAUGUGACAAAACCUUUUCCUCAUGACCUUGGCAAUAUUGUGAACAUAGAAAUGGUCGAUGACAAUGUGAAUGCAGCAGAUGUCAACAAUAUUUCAUUAUAUUUUAAGAAAACUGUUGAGGGGUUCCAGUCGCAAAAUGCAAUUCUCAUGGAUAAUUUUGAAGGUUUCUCUGCUUUCAUAGGCGAGUUUAUUGAAGCUCUAUUGGGAAAGCUAAGGGCAACUGGAGUUGCAGUGACUAUUAUUUUUGAGCACAUGGAGUCUAUGAAACAGAAAAUGAAGAAUAUGGAAAUGCAUAACGAGGAAC